AGUCGCACAGCUACCUGGUAGGUGACUGGAGGUGUUGAUCAGUGCUUGGUGGGAUUUUGCUGAUGUGGCCCCAAGCCCGCCUCCCUCCCCACCCUGCGAUGGCAGAAGAAACUCGACAAAGUAAAUUGGCAGCAGCCAAGAGAAAGUUAAAAGAAUAUUGGCAGAGAAACAGCCCUGGUGUUCCAGCAGGAGCCAAGAGGAACAGGAAAACAAAUGGCAGCAUCCAUGAGACAGCCACUUCUGGUGGUUGCCACUCACCUGGAGAUUCAGCAACAGGUAUCCACGGGGAGAGCCCUACAUCAUCUGCUACCCUGAAGGAUCUGGAGGUAAGAGGCUCUGGGCAGAGGUGCAGUGACCCUGCAGGCCAGCCCUCCAACCUCCUCCUCCAGGUGGGACGGGGUGCCCCUCUGCCAGCUGAGACAGUCCACACACACCCCAGCCCUAAUGAUUGCUCUCUCUACCUCUCCCCCCACUCCUCCUCCACCUCCUCCUCUCUGCAUGCGCCUCA
rnacentral:lncRNA from 1 species